rnacentral:rRNA from 1 species
ACCGGCAAACGGGUGCGGAACACGUACAGAACCUUCCUUCGAGCGGGGAAUAGCCCAGAGAAAUUUGGAUUAAUACCCCAUAGUAUAAUAAAGAGGCAUCUCUUUGUUAUUAAAGAUUUAUCACUUGAAGAUGGCUGUGCGGCUGAUUAGGUAGUUGGCGGGGUAACGGCCCACCAAGCCUGCGAUCAGUAACUGGUGUGAGAGCACGACCAGUCACACGGGCACUGAGACACGGGCCCGACUCCCACGGGAGGCAGCAGUAAGGAAUAUUGGUCAAUGGACGAAAGUCUGAACCAGCCAUGCCGCGUGGAGGAUGAAGGUCCUCUGGAUUGUAAACUUCUUUUAUAUGGGACGAAAAAAGGCUUUUCUAAGUCGUCUGACGGUACCAUAUGAAUAAGCACCGGCUAACUCCGUGCCAGCAGCCGCGGUAAUACGGAGGGUGCAAGCGUUAUCCGGAUUCACUGGGUUUAAAGGGUGCGUAGGUGGGGUGGUAAGUCAGUGGUGAAAUCCCCGAGCUUAACUUGGGAACUGCCAUUGAUACUAUCAUUCUUGAAUACCGUGGAGGUCAGCGGAAUAUGUCAUGUAGCGGUGAAAUGCUUAGAUAUGACAUAGAACACCAAUUGCGAAGGCAGCUGGCUACCCGAAUAUUGACACUGAGGCACGAAAGCGUGGGGAUCAAACAGGAUUAGAUACCCUGGUA